rnacentral:rRNA from 1 species
GGGUGAGUAACGCGUGAGCAACGUGCCCGUAUGUGGGGGAUAGUCAUUGGAAACGAUGCGUAAUACCCCGUAACACAUUUCCCCGCAUGAGGAGAUGUUGAAAGAUUUAUUGCAUACGGAUCGGCUCGCGUGCCAUUAGGUAGACGGCGGGGUAACGGCCCACCGUGCCGACGAUGGCUAGGGGUUCUGAGAGGAAGGUCCCCCACAUUGGAACUGAGACACGGUCCAGACUCCUACGGGAGGCAGCAGUGAGGAAUAUUGGACAAUGGCCGGAAGGCUGAUCCAGCCAUGCCGCGUGCGGGAUGACGGCCCUAUGGGUUGUAAACCGCUUUUGCGAGGGAGCAAUAAGAGUCACGUGUGGCUCGAUGAGAGUACCUCGCGAAUAAGCAUCGGCUAACUCCGUGCCAGCAGCCGCGGUAAUACGGAGGAUGCAAGCGUUAUCCGGAUUUAUUGGGUUUAAAGGGUGCGCAGGCGGCUUGUUAAGCGGGAGGUGAAAUGCCGGCGCUCAACGUCGGAAGUGCCUCCCGAACUGGUGAGCUUGAAUGACUCUGCCGUGGGAGGAAUGUGUAGUGUAGCGGUGAAAUGCUUAGAGAUUACACAGAACACCGAUUGCGAAGGCA